UACGUAGGGGGCAAGCGUUGUCCGGAUUCAUUGGGCGUAAAGAGCGUGUAGGCGGCCUGAAAGGUCAGCUGUGAAAACUCGAGGCUCAACCUCGAGACGUCGGUUGAAACCAUCUGGCUAGAGUCCGGAAGAGGAGUGUGGAAUUCCCGGUGUAGCGGUGAAAUGCGCAGAUAUCGGAAGGAACGCCGGUGGCGAAAGCGGUCCGCUAGGUCUCUACUGACGCUGAGGCGCGAAAGCCAGGGGAGCAAACGGG
rnacentral:rRNA from 1 species